rnacentral:rRNA from 1 species
AGGUUGAACAGCCACAUUGGGACUGAGACACGGCCCAAACUCCUACGGGAGGCAGCAGUAGGGAAUUUUCGGCAAUGGAGGAAACUCUGACCGAGCAACGCCGCGUGAACGAUGAAGUACCUCGGUAUGUAAAGUUCUUUUAUUAAGGAAGAAAAAAGAGUGGAAAAACUCCCUUGACGGUACUUAAUGAAUAAGCCCCGGCUAAUUAUGUGCCAGCAGCCGCGGUAAUACAUAAGGGGCGAGCGUUAUCCGGAAUUAUUGGGCGUAAAGGGUGCGUAGGCGGUUUAAUAAGUCUAUAGUUUAAUUUCAGUGCUUAACGCUGUUGUGCUAUAGAAACUGUUUUACUAGAGUGAGUUAGAGGCAAGCGGAAUUCCAUGUGUAGCGGUAAAAUGCGUAAAUAUAUGGAGGAACACCAGAGGCGUAGGCGGCUUGCUGGGACUUUACUGACGCUGAGGCACGAAAGCGUGGGGAGCAAACAGGAUUAGAUACCCUGGUAGUCCACACCGUAAACGAUGAGUACUAAGUGUCGGGUAAAACCGGUACUGAAGUUAACACAUUAAGUACUCCGCCUGAGUAGUACGUACGCAAGUAUGAAACUUAAAGGAAUUGACGGGACUCCGCACAAGCGGUGGAUCAUGUUGUUUAAUUCGAAGAUACACGAAAAACCUUACCAGGUCUUGACAUUUUCUUGCGAAGUUAUAGAAAUAUAAUGGAGGUUAUCAGGAAAACAGGUGGUGCAUGGUUGUCGUCAGCUCGUGUCGUGAGAUGUUAGGUUAAGUCCUAAAACGAGCGCAACCCUUGUCGUUAAUUGCCAGCAUGUAAUGAUGGGGACUUUAACGAGACUGCCAAUGAAAAAUUGGAGGAAGGUGGGGAUUACGUCAAAUCAUCAUGCCCCUUAUGAUCUGGGCUACAAACGUGAUACAAUGGUUGAUACAAAGAGUAGCUGAAACGCGAGUUC